rnacentral:lncRNA from 10 species
UUGAACCCUGGAGGUGGAGGUUGCAGUGAGCAGAGAUCUCACCAUUACACUCCAGCCUGGGUGACAAGAGCAAAACUCCAUCUCAAAAAAAAAAAAAAAGGUGAACUUGAAGGCAGGUCCUGUGUCCAUCUUUUCAGAUUCUGUAUCCCAGCACUUAGGACAUAGACAAACACGAAGAUGACAAUCAAUAUUUGCCAAAAUGAAAAAACAAAAGAAACGUAACAUCAUGUAAAAGAAGCUGGUUAGGUGGAGAAAUUUCUUUACCAUAGUCUUGCUUGUGGAUCCAGUAGUGACUUUUACAUUUUAUAUCUAAAUAGAAGCUGGAGGCUUUGUUGGGGACUCAUAGGCAUAAAAUAUUAUGCUAUUUAUUAUAGAGUUAAAUGCUACAAAGACAAAUCUAAUUAAUAGGCCUAUUUUCCUUUUUAAAUUCUACUCAUAAUUUCUUCAUAGUUUUUAUGAUAAAAGGUUGGAUUUUGAUUAGAACUCCCAUGCUUUUGUGUCAGAAUUAAAACUGGUAUUAGAAUAAAUAAUUCAAAAGCUAGAGAAAGAGUACAAUGAGAAGCCAUGAGUUGCAUUUGAAUUAUAAUAUUAUGUCUUACAGAUUUGGGGUAUAUACUAAAGUUACCAAGUUGUAGAAAAUCAGGCCGGGCAUUGUGGCUCACAUCUGUAAUUCCAGCACUUUGGGAGGCCGAGGUGGGCGGAUCAUUUGAGGUCAGGAGUUCGAGACCAGCCUGGCCAACAUGGUGAAACUCCGUCUGUACUAAUAGUACAAAAAUUAACCAGGCGUGAUGGUGUGCAUCUGUAGUCCUUGCUACUCAGAAAGCUGAGGCAGGAGAAUCGCUUGUACCCAGGAGGCAGAGGUUGCAGUGAGCAGAGAUUGUGCCACUGCACUCCAGCCUGGGUGACAGAGUGCUAUGAGUCACCACACCUGGUAUGAGCCACCGUGCCUGGCCCACAAUGACUUUUACACAAGUUGUUAAAUCAUCUUACAGAUUUUAUAAUUUGGGGGAAGAAAAGUUUUACUAAAUGGUCUUUUAAUGGAAACUCUACAAGAACCAGAAUCUUUGCUUUGUUCACUUAUGUAUCCAUUCCUAGGCCUAGAAAAAUGUCUGACACAUAGCGGCAAUUAUUCAUUGAAUAAAUGGACCCAGCGAUAGUACAUUAGCUGUGCUAUAUGCAUACAUUAAAGAUGUAGAUUAUUGACUUUCAAAAGAUAAUUAAUGUAACUUCUUACUGCUUCUGAUCAUGUUUGUGAGUUAUAUUGCUGAGGGACCUUUAUCUUCUCAUUCUUUCAUCUUAACCCAGUGUUAUAAAAUUGAAAUCACCAAUAUUAUUCCAUAUCUAAAAUUAAUAUCUACCUUGUAAAAAAUAUCACUCUGCUGCAUUUGAGAAUAGACUUUUUAGGUAAUAAUGAUGCAAUCCGUAGGGUUUUUUGGGGGCACAGGGGGAUUCAUGCUAAUAGAACAUUUUAUUUUGUAUUUUCCCAGAGCUGUAAAACAUGAAAUUAGGGUAGUAUAAGGCAUAUUUUUACUCUUUUUAUAAUUUUUUCUAAAAAAAAUUAGUGUUUGUUCCCUAUAUAACUUUUAACUUUAUAGGUAAAUAUUUGUCUCGUUCAGCUCCAGUUUUAUGUGAAAUAGAGUUUUCAGAUUUAUGUAGCAUGGAAAGUUUUAAUACGUCAGAGUUACUGAUUUUUGCCAAUCAUUUUCUCAAUUAUUUCUUUUUUAUCUUUAGUUGAUUUUUUUGUAGUGACAUUUUGUUUCUAGUCUCAUUUCCUUUUGUUUAUAUUCUAUGUAUAUUUCGUUUUUGGUUACUAUGAGAAUUACAUAUAACAUCCUAGAGUUAUAACAUUUUAAUUUGAAUUUAUUCAACUUAAGUUCAAUCACAUACCAAAAUUCUACUGCUAUAUAUAUAGCUCUACUCUUUUUAUGUUAUUGAUGUAACAAAUUAUAUCUUUAUUCAUUGUAUACCAGCUAACAGAUUUACAAUUACAUUUUAUGCAUUUCCCUUUUAAAUUAUGUAGAAAAUAAAAAGCAGAGUUACAAACCAAAAUUACAAUAGGACUGUUUUUAUAUUUGUUUAUGUAUUUACCUUUACCAGAGAGCUUUGUAUAUUCAUACAGCUUGCUUAUUUACUUUUAUAGUUAUUGCCUAGAGUUCAUUUAUUUCAACCUGAAGGACUUAACACUUCUUGAAUGGCAAAUUCAGGGAUAAAUGGAUUUUUUUCAGUUUUAAAAAAAAAUCCGGAAAUGUCUUAAUUUCUUCCUCAUUUUUGAAGGAUAAGUUUUCCAGCUAUAGAUUUCUCAAUUGACAGGUUUCUUCAUUAUUUUAAAUAUAUAAUCCACUGCCUACUGGCCUUCAAGGUUUCUGCCGAGAAAUCAGCUGCUAAUGUUAUCUGGAUCCCUAUCUGUGAGAGUUGCUCUUCUCUCUGAGUUUUCAACAUUCUCCCAUUAUCUUUUUUGUUUGUUUUUGAGACAAAUAAUUGUACAUAUUCAUGGGAUACAGAGUGAUAUUUUGAUACAUGUAUACAAUGUCCAAUGAUCAAAUAAGGAUAAUUAGCAUAUCCAUCACCUCAAAUAUUUGUCAUUUAUUUGUAUUGUGAACAGUCAACAUUCUUCUAGUUUUUUAAAUUUAUAAACAUUUACAUUUUAUUACAGAAAUUUAAAUUUUUUGAUUCUGAAAAAGUCAUAUAUGUAUGCAACAUCUUUUUAUCAUUUAUUUAUAUGUUUAUGCAUCUUUCCUUUUAGUUUUGACAUUUUCUAUUUUAUCAUUAUUUCAAAAGAACUCUUACCUGUAUUUAUUUAUCAAUUAUAUUUCCCUUGUUUUUUCCUAGUAUAUUAUUUACUUAUCUUCUAAAAAUCCUCCAUAUAAUCUGUUUAUUUUGUUUCCUUUCUAUAAUUUCUUCAAUGAUUAGUUCUGUUCUAUUUUCCAUUAAAAUAUUUAAAUCUUGUAUGAAUUUUUGUCAGAUUAGAAAUUUAGGGCAUUUCUUAAUUUCUCUAUAUUCUAGUUUUGACUUUUUUUUUCUGACCUAAGAGGUAUUUAGAGCACAUUUUAAAUUUUUUAUUUUGACUAAUCAUUUAAAAUGUAUACUAAUCUUCAAUUUAAAUAAAAAACUGGUCUAUAGUGACAAAAAUUACAAAUGAGCCUAACUAAUAAAUUAUCAGCUGUGUUUAUAUGUAUAGGCAUGCACAGAUUUUGGUAAAUAUGUACAUAGUAUAUUGGUGAGCUUAUUUUUAUCAUUCUUAACUCAUUGUGUAGUCUAAACAUUGGGGAAAAAAUAAAAUACAAUAAUCAGAUGGUGUGAAUAAGAAAAUUGUUGUACUGUUUGUAAACCAAGCAACUGUUUUAACUGCUCCCCUCUUCCUGAUUGAGUUCUAAAAGGGAUUAAUCCAUAUUGGGUCCUAUCAUAUAUGUCACGGUAUAACAUCUCCAGCUAUAAAAUGGAAAUUUGAGAAUAACUUUGCUGCUACUCAGAUACAUUUUACUUCAAAAACAUACACUAAGGUGUUGCUGUUGGAUCUUUCCAAAAACAUAUUCACACAGAACUUUCAAUCACACUGAGCCAUAUUUGAACAAUCUUUCAAGGUCAGCUCUGGCAUAAGCUAACAUUAUACCAUUUAACUCAGAAAUUUCUUUAGUAUUUGAUUAAUGGGUUUAUGUUUGAUAUGUAAUGUAAUUUUCUAAUGCUAAAUC